AGUGGCGGACGGGUGAGUAACGCGUAAGAAUCUAACUUCAGGACGGGGACAACAGUUGGAAACGACUGCUAAUACCCGAUGUGCCGCAAGGUGAAACCUAAUUGGCCUGGAGAAGAGCUUGCGUCUGACUAGCUAGUUGGUGGGGUAAAGGCCUACCAAGGCGACGAUCAGUAGCUGGUCUGAGAGGAUGAGCAGCCACACUGGGACUGAGACACGGCCCAGACUCCUACGGGAGGCAGCAGUGGGGAAUUUUCCGCAAUGGGCGAAAGCCUGACGGAGCAACGCCGCGUGAGGGAGGAAGGUCUUUGGAUUGUAAACCUCUUUUCUCAAGGAAGAAGUUCUGACGGUACUUGAGGAAUCAGCCUCGGCUAACUCCGUGCCAGCAGCCGCGGUAAUACGGGGGAGGCAAGCGUUAUCCGGAAUUAUUGGGCGUAAAGCGUCCGCAGGUGGUCAGCCAAGUCUGCCGUCAAAUCAGGUUGCUUAACGACCUAAAGGCGGUGGAAACUGGCAGACUAGAGAGCAGUAGGGGUAGCAGGAAUUCCCAGUGUAGCGGUGAAAUGCGUAGAGAUUGGGAAGAACAUCGGUGGCGAAAGCGUGCUACUGGGCUGUAUCUGACACUCAGGGACGAAAGCUAGGGGAGCGAAAGGGAUUAGAUACCCCUGUAGUCCUAGCCGUAAACGAUGGAUACUAGGCGUGGCUU
rnacentral:rRNA from 1 species